AUGGCAGAAAGUGGUAAGGGAAUACCUCAAGUUGGUAUGAGGUUCAGAAGUGUAGAUGAGGCUUGGGCAUUUUGGAAUGCAUAUGGGGGUCACACCGGCUUUGAUGUGAGAAGGAGAUACGCAAACAAAAGCAAACUUGAUGGUCAGGUUGGUUCAUGCAGAUUUGUUUGUUCCAAUGAGGGUCAUCGAAGAAAAGGGCUAACUGAGACAGCACCAAAGCGUUUUAGAGCUGAAACUAGAACCAAUUGCCAAGCUCAUAUGUGUUUCCAAUUGGAUCAAGAGGCCGGAAAUUAUGAAGUAACUGAGGUUGUGCUUGAACACAACCACUUGCUUCAAUUGCUACAAACCCGCCACUUGAUGAUAUCCCAAAGAAAGAUUUCAGAACGACAAGCUUUUGAAAUUGAAAGCGCUGAUGAUUCCGGCAUUAUGCCACAAGCUGCACAUGAGUUUGCUUCUCGUCAAGUUGGUGGACCGAUUAACCUUGGAUAUACUUGCCGUGACCAAAAAAAUCAUUUGCGAACCAAGCGACAGAGGGAGUUGGCUUUUGGACAAGCUGGAAGUAUGUUGAAAUAUUUUCAUGAAAAAAUUGCUGACAAUCCAUCAUUCCAAUAUGCACUACAGUUGGAUUGUGAGGAGGAUAUAACCAACAUAUUCGGGGCUGAUGCUAAAAUGAUCCUUGACUAUGCGCAUUUUGGUGAUGUUGUCACUUUUGACACUACUUUUGGCACAAAUAAAUAG
rnacentral:rRNA from 1 species